AGACGUCUACAUUAGAUACCCGGGUAGUCCCAGCCGUAAGCUAUGCGCGUUAGGUGUAUCGGUGACCACGAGUUACCGAGGUGCCGAAGGGAAACCGUGAAACGUGCCGCCUGGGAAGUACGGUCGCAAGGCUGAAACUUAAAGGAAUUGGCGGGGAGCACCACAACAGGUGGAGCCUGCGGUUUAAUUGGACUCAACGCCGGGAAGCUCACCGGAUAGGACAGCAGAAUGAUUGCCGGGCUGAAGACCCUGCAUGACUAGCUG
rnacentral:rRNA from 1 species